rnacentral:tRNA from 15 species
GCGCGCGUGGCCAAGCGGUAAGGCGUCGCACUCGUAAUGCGGAAAUCGCCGGUUCGAAUCCGGUCGUGCGCA